UGCCAGCAAUCGAGGAGCCAGCGGCGC
rnacentral:piRNA from 1 species